AUGAUUUUCACAGCAUUUUUCAUGAUAAUAAUUUUGGCAAAAGAUGCUUUUUCUCAGGUCAUGUUGACUCCAACAACUUCAGUGGUACAAACAAUCCCUGGAAAGACAUUAAGGCUGUCGUGCAGAGUUUCAGGCUUCUCCUUAAGCAGUUACAGUGCACACUGGAUUCGCCAGCCUCCUGGUAAAGGACUGCAAUGGGUUGGCUAUUACAGCAAGUCAAUUGACAGUCGUUUCAAAGUUACAGAAGACAGCAGCAAUAAUUUGGCACAUCUUGAUAUUAGCAACGUGUUGACAGAAGAUAUGGGUGUUUAUUACUGUGCUCGAAGGCACAGUUGA